rnacentral:rRNA from 1 species
AGAGUUUGAUCCUGGCUCAGGAUGAACGCUGGCGGCGUGCCUAAUACAUGCAAGUCGAACGCACUGUGGUUCAACUGAUUUGAAGAGCUUGCUCUGAUAUGACGAUGAACAUUGCAGUGAGUGGCGAACGGGUGAGUAACACGUGGGAAACCUACCUCUUAGCGGGGGAUAACAUCUGGAAACAGAUGCUAAUACCGCAUAACACUAGCAACCGCAUGGUUGCUACUUGAAAGAUGGUUCUGCUAUCACUAAGAGAUGGUCCCGCGGCGCAUUAGUUAGUUGGUGAGGUAAUGGCUCACCAAGACGAUGAUGCGUAGCCGAGUUGAGAGACUGAUCGGCCACAAUGGGACUGAGACACGGCCCAUACUCCUACGGGAGGCAGCAGUAGGGAAUCUUCCACAAUGGACGAAAGUCUGAUGGAGCAACGCCGCGUGUGUGAUGAAGGGUUUCGGCUCGUAAAACACUGUUGUAAGAGAAGAAUAGCAUCAAGAGUAACUGCUUGGUGUGUGACGGUAUCUUACCAGAAAGGAACGGCUAAAUACGUGCCAGCAGCCGCGGUAAUACGUAUGUUCCAAGCGUUAUCCGGAUUUAUUGGGCGUAAAGCGAGCGCAGACGGUUUUUUAAGUCCGAAGUGAAAGCCCACAGCUUAACUGUGGAAGUGCUUUGGAAACUGGAUGACUUGAGUGCAGUAGAGGAGGGUGGAAUUCCAUGUGUAGCGGUGAAUGCGUAGAUAUAUGGAG